UGCGUAGGCGGUCUGUUAAGUUGGAUGUGAAAACUCUGGGCUCAACCCAGAGCCUGCAUCCAAAACUGGCAGGCUAGAGUUCUGGAGGGGGUAGCGGAAUUCCUGGUGUAGCGGUGAAAUGCGUAGAUAUCAGGAGGAACACCGGUGGCGAAGGCGGCUACCUGGACAGAAACUGACGCUGAGGCACGAAAGCUAGGGAGCAAACA
rnacentral:rRNA from 1 species